rnacentral:rRNA from 1 species
GACGAACGCUGGCGGCGUGCUUAACACAUGCAAGUCGAACGGAAAGGCCCUGCUUUUGUGGGGUGCUCGAGUGGCGAACGGGUGAGUAACACGGGAGUAACCUGCCCUUGACUUUGGGAUAACUUCAGGAAACUGGGGCUAAUACCGGAUAGGAGCUCCUGCUGCAUGGUGGGGGUUGGAAAGUUUCGGCGGUUGGGGAUGGACUCGCGGCUUAUCAGCUUGUUGGUGGGGUAGUGGCUUACCAAGGCUUUGACGGGUAGCCGGCCUGAGAGGGUGACCGGCCACAUUGGGCCUGAGAUACGGCCCAGACUCCUACGGGAGGCAGCAGUGGGGAAUAUUGCACAAUGGGCGGAAGCCUGAUGCAGCGUCUCCGCGUGCGGGAUGACGGCCUUCGGGUUGUAAACCGCUUUCGCCUGUGACGAAGCGUGAGUGACGGUAAUGGGUAAAGAAGCACCGGCUAACUACGUG